GGAUAUAGCUCAGUGGUAGAGUGCGUGCUUAGCAUGCAUGAGGUCCUGGGCUCAAUCCCCAGUACUUCCA
rnacentral:tRNA from 1 species